CCGGCAGCGGCACGGACGCCCCCUUGUGGCCAUACAGACAGUGACACCACCAGCCACCUAACAACUCGGCCUCAAACUGUGCGCUGGGGCCAAGCGCCGGUUCUGGGAGGGGAAAAAGCAGGGAUCUCGUGCUGUGGCCGAGUCUGUCCCCGCUCUGCCCCGCCCCAACCAGCGCCAGACUCCUGCGCACCCCCGCGGCCCCAGCGAGCCAGGCGGCAGCGGCUCCCAGGCAGGAAGUAGUGUUCCGGGUAGGGAGAGAAAAUGAACUGGGAGAAAUGCUUUGUCUGAACUAGCAGAGUCAGAGCGGGAACCUUGGUUGGACCUAAAUCCAGAAAAGGAAAACCUGGAAGGAAGGCUCAGUGGCACACACCUGUAAUCCCAAAGAUUUGGGAGGCUGAGGCUGGAGGAUUGG